GACGUAGGGGGCCAGCGUUGAUCGGAAUUACUGGGCGUAAAGGGUCCGUAGGCGGUGCGGUAAGUCGGGUGUGAAAUCUCUGGGCUUAACUCAGAGGCUGCUUCCGAAACUACCGUGCUAGAGUGCGAGAGAGGCAAGUGGAAUUGCGGGUGUAGCGGUGAAAUGCGUAGAUAUCCGCAGGAACAUCCGAGGCGAAAGCGGCUUGCUGGAUCGCAACUGACGCUGAGGGACGAAAGCUAGGGGAGCAAACAGG
rnacentral:rRNA from 1 species